UACGGAGGGUGCGAGCGUUGUCCGGAAUCACUGGGCGUAAAGGGCGCGUAGGCGGCCUGAUAAGUAGGGGGUGAAAUCCUGCGGCUUAACCGCAGGGCUGCCUUCUAAACUGUCAGGCUUGAGCACAGUAGAGGCAGGUGGAAUUUCCUGUGUAGCGGUGAAAUGCGUAGAUAUAGGAAGGAACACCAGUGGCGAAGGCGACCACCUGGACUGAUACUGACACUGAGGUGCGAAAGCGUGGGGAGCAAACAGG
rnacentral:rRNA from 1 species